UCGUUAACGCUUCGUCUUGUUCCUCCGCUCAACUGUACAGUACGACGGAAAAUUCUCCUCCUACCUCUAAUGGCGUUGCCGUCCGCGCAACAUAUGAAUAACCAGAUGGGACUUGGGGCCCCUUGGCUGGCGGGCGCCCUCCUGCCCCCCCCCCCCCCUCGGGCCGGCCCUGCCGCCAGAUUCGCCGCCGCCGACAGGAGCGCCUUCGGUGUGCCGGUGGAGGACGGACGACGGCGCGGGCGCUACGGCGCCUAAUCUUCACCACAACGGCCUCCUCGCCAUCUUGCCGUACGAACUCGUCGAGGACGCGUGCCGUGCUGCCGUGAUCCGCGCCGACAACAGCCAGGUCUACUCCGUCUAGGAGAUUCUGCGCUUGCUCCACUAAGCUGACGCGUACGUCGGCCUGCCCGUGCGAGACGCGGUCGCCGCACGCGCUCAAGGCCGGCGUCGAGGUUGGUGGGAGGAUCUCGCGGGGCUCCGUCGACCUUGCCUGCUAGUGUUCGGUGCUUCUGCACGCCAGCAAGUCACGGAUGCUGCCGACACCAAGCUCCUCGAGCCAGUGGCCGCAAGAUGCGCACCAACUCCUGGCCUCUAUCCCGGUCGUCUCCUACACAAGGCCAGGCCACGCCCGGCGCCCGCGCAGCAACCUGGGGCUUGGAGACUUGAUCAUGCAGUGGAGCUGGUUGCCGUGGCCCAGUGCGUGGUCGCGAUGGCUCCGACGAUGAGAAGAUCGGCGGCCAACGAGCUCGUGCAUAGGUGCCUGGCGACCUCGUGCAAGGGCGUAGCGGAGCGAGGCGGACCGCGGCUAGAUCCCCGGCGAAACCGCGUAGAGCGCACGAUGUGAAUACAGUUGCAGCCGUGAACUAUUUUUUUUAAACAUUGUAAUAUAUUAUAAACAUUUCUCUUGUAAUAUAAUAGCAGCAAGCAGCAUGCCUGAACU